UGGGGAAUAUUGCACAAUGGGCGAAAGCCUGAUGCAGCAACGCCGCGUGAGUGAUGAAGGUCUUCGGAUUGUAAAGCUCUGUCUUUUGGGACGAUAAUGACGGUACCAAAGGAGGAAGCCACGGCUAACUACGUGCCAGCAGCCGCGGUAAUACGUAGGUGGCGAGCGUUGUCCGGAUUUACUGGGCGUAAAGGGUGCGUAGGCGGAUGUUUAAGUGAGAUGUGAAAUACCCGGGCUUAACUUGGGUGCUGCAUUUCAAACUGGAUAUCUAGAGUGCAGGAGAGGAGAAUGGAAUUCCUAGUGUAGCGGUGAAAUGCGUAGAGAUUAGGAAGAACACCAGUGGCGAAGGCGAUUCUCUGGACUGUAACUGACGCUGAGGCACGAAAGCGUGGGUAGCAAACAGGAUUAGAUACCCUGGUAGUCCACGCCGUAAACGAUGAGUACUAGGUGUAGGAGGUAUCGACCCCUUCUGUGCCGCAGUAAACACAUUAAGUACUCCCGCCUGGGAAGUACGAUCGCAAGAUUAAAAC
rnacentral:rRNA from 1 species